rnacentral:rRNA from 1 species
UACGAAGGGGGCUAGCGUUGCUCGGAAUCACUGGGCGUAAAGGGUGCGUAGGCGGGUCUUUAAGUCAGAGGUGAAAUCCUGGAGCUCAACUCCAGAACUGCCUUUGAUACUGAGGAUCUUGAGUAUGGGAGAGGUGAGUGGAACUGCGAGUGUAGAGGUGAAAUUCGUAGAUAUUCGCAAGAACACCAGUGGCGAAGGCGGCUCACUGGCCCGAUACUGACGCUGAGGCACGAAAGCGUGGGGAGCAAACAGG